rnacentral:rRNA from 1 species
UUGCACGCUGGCGGCAGGCCUAACCCAUGCAAGUCGAACGGUAACAGGAAGCAGCUUGCUGCUUUGCUGACGAGUGGCGGACGGGUGAGUAAUGUCUGGGAAACUGCCCGGUGGAGGGGGAUAACUACUGGAAACGGUAGCUAAUACCGCAUAACGUCGCAAGACCAAAGAGGGGGACCUUAGGGCCUCUUGCCAUCGGAUGUGCCCAGAUGGGAUUAGCUAGUAGGUGGGGUAACGGCUCACCUAGGCGACGAUCCCUAGCUGGUCUGAGAGGAUGACCAGCCACACUGGAACUGAGACACGGUCCAGACUCCUACGGGAGGCAGCAGUGGGGAAUAUUGCACAAUGGGCGCAAGCCUGAUGCAGCCAUGCCGCGUGUAUGAAGAAGGCCUUCGGGUUGUAAAGUACUUUCAGCGGGGAGGAAGGGAGUAAAGUUAAUACCUUUGCUCAUUGACGUUACCCGCAGAAGAAGCACCGGCUAACUCCGUG